CAGUCGCCGCGGGAAUACGAAGGGGGCUAGCGUUGUUCGGAAUCACUGGGCGUAAAGCGCACGUAGGCGGACUUUUAAGUCAGGGGUGAAAUCCCAAGGCUCAACCUUGGAACUGCCUUUGAUACUGGAAGUCUUGAGUUCGGGAGAGGUGAGUGGAACUGCGAGUGUAGAGGUGAAAUUCGUAGAUAUUCGCAAGAACACCAGUGGCGAAGGCGGCUCACUGGCCCGAUACUGACGCUGAGGUGCGAAAGCGUGGGGAGCAAACAGGAUUAGAUACCCCCGUAGUCCCUGUCUCUUAUAU
rnacentral:rRNA from 1 species